rnacentral:rRNA from 1 species
UACAGAGGUGGCAAGCGUUGUUCGGAUUUAUUGGGCGUAAAGGGUCCGUAGGCGGUUUGGAAAGUCAGAUGUGAAAUCCCACAGCUCAACUGUGGAACUGCAUUUGAAACUUCCAGACUAGAGUGUGAGAGGGGUUAAGGGAAUUCCCGGUGUAAGGGUGAAAUCUGCAGAGAUCGGGAGGAACACCAGUCGCGAAGGCGCUUAACUGGCUCACAACUGACGCUCAGGGACGAAAGCUAGGGUAUCAAACGGG